rnacentral:rRNA from 1 species
AUGCGUGGACGGAUGCUACAAGAAAAACGACGAAUGCGUGUCCCGGUGCCUCAAGGGCCUUUAGUUGACUCGACUCGACUCUACUACAUGUCUCGUUUGGUUCUAGGGAGCUCAGCUCAUUUGUUGUCAUGUCCUGUCGUGUCAUUUCUUUCCUUCCCUCGUGAAGUCAUGUAUGUGUUGUCAUCAUCCCUUCUUGCGUGCUUGCUUGAUCGUUGUCUUAGUUUCUAUGUCACAAUAAACGGACAAUACUUGCAGCUAAUGUUUCGAUCGAUUGUGAUUUCAUACAUUGUACUAGUACCAAUUUUUUUUUACAUCAAAACUAGUGCAGACACGCACACGCUCACAUUUACGUACACACAUUCAUCCCUAUGA